GACGAACGCUGGCGGCGUGCUUAACACAUGCAAGUCGAGCGGUAAGGCCCUUUCGGGGGUACACGAGCGGCGAACGGGUGAGUAACACGUGGGUGACCUGCCCUCAGCUCUGGGAUAAGCCCGGGAAACUGGGUCUAAUACCGGAUAUGACUUCAUGACGCAUGUUGUGGAGUGGAAAGCCUUGUGCGGCUGAGGAUGGGCCCGCGGCCUAUCAGCUUGUUGGUGGGGUGAUGGCCUACCAAGGCGACGACGGGUAGCCGGCCUGAGAGGGCGACCGGCCACACUGGGACUGAGAUACGGCCCAGACUCCUACGGGAGGCAGCAGUGGGGAAUCUUGCGCAAUGGGCGAAAGCCUGACGCAGCGACGCCGCGUGAGGGAU
rnacentral:rRNA from 1 species